rnacentral:tRNA from 1 species
UAGCUCAGUUGGUAGUGCGCUUGCCUUGCAAGCACAAGGUUCUGGGUUCAAUUCCCAG